ACGCAAGAUCAGAUGGACGGAAACCAACCACAAAUUCGCCCAACCCCAACAGCACGACUUCAAAACCGAGAUUGUAUGAAGCCCUUCAAAUCGUCAUUUCUCCAACAAGAUAAAACAUCUGGCAGAAGGAGAAUGUACUGCUUUCGUGAUUUUGGCCUGAUUCUCCGUUUAGUGGGUACAAGCUUACUCGUACAUGUUCUUCAUUCACGGAGGUAAAGGACUUUCCACUAAGGCCGCAGGUCCGAUAACAUCUUCCGUCUGUAGAAAAAGCAAUGUUUGUGCGCUUUUGGCUCGGUGUUAUUCCUCCAUUGAGAAUGAACGUGGUCUGGUUCAACGAGGAAGAUGGAACGAUGUAGUAGUCGCAAAGCCCAGAACGUGUGAAUAUGAGGAAGGCA